GUGUAAACUCAUUCCUCGGAAUAAGACACCAUCUCUCUCUCCGCAUAGUACCACCCGACCAAUCAGACCCAUCAGCCCAGGGUCCUGGCCGAUGGUUGCACAGCUUUGCGUCACGUGAUACUCCUUCUGCAAGAAACUUUCCAAUCGCUGUAUGGCAGACCCGUGCUGCCCUUCCUCCUCACCCUCACUUAACAACAGCAGCUGAGUAAGUAUCGCCACCUGCCUGCGAACGCGUGUCUGUGUCAGUGCCUGCGGGUGCUGAGUACCACUGGACCGAGCCAAACUACGAAGUAAGUCUGUCCCUCGUAGGGGAGUGGCAGGCGAAUGAUAUGGCCUGGCAAACACAUAGGUGUUCUGUGGAUCAAUUCCCACACCGGCACGAGUCUGCAAAAGCAUCUCCAUACAGGCUUCAGAGUGUGGUGGGAGGAUGAGUGGCUGUACACGGCCACGUUUCCCUUGGACUCCAACGCGAGGGAGAUGGGGGAGGACCAUCCGCUCGAAGGGUGAGAGCGAGGCCUCCAGUGGGGUAAGAGUUGGUGGGGCACCAGACUGCACAGGAAUGGGGCACUGGGAUGUGACGCGGGCCUGGUACUCGGAGAUGGUGAGCUUGGAGACUUCACAUUCACGCCGGCGAUUGUAAAGGAUGAGUAGGGCCAGACUGGAGUGACAGAGGAGACGCCAUGCCUCGGCCGACUGUGGUGAGCGGGAGAGAGAAAUAAAGGCAGAGUGCUGCAGCCGCCGCAGGUACAACACCAGGGAGGAAAGGGAGGAAAGAAGUGGGAGCAUGUGGAGACGACGCGAACUGAGAAAAGAGAAAAAGGACAACAGGACUAAGUGAAUUUAAAGAGAAUGGAUAAUCAAUUUUAACAGGCAAACUGUUUUUAACAUUGUGAGAUCAAUUGAAAAUGUCUGACCUUGAUAGGUCGGUCUUAUCCUCUGCGCCGCUUUCUUCUUCUCUCCCUCCAUUGUCCUCUCUUUCUUCUUUCGAAGGUUUUGACUCCUUAACAUGAUCUAAAAACACUGGAGUGGGCAAUUCCUCUUCUUUUGUCUUCUCAAAAAUGUCCACCUCCUCUUUAUCCUUUUUCGUUUUUCGUCCUCCUUUUCUGGGAGGAGUACCAGGAAUAGGUGGGCUCCUCUUUAAGACAGACACUGGAACACCUCCUCUUCUGGGCGGAGUUGUCGGUGCUGGGGUAGGACUUUUGCAAAUAGGGCUAGAGAGGGCAGGGCUCCUUCUGACCGGAGACAAAGAAGUAGAGGGUGGUGACUGUGGUGUUCCCACCACCACACCUGGAACAGGAGUCACUUGAAGGCAUUGGGACUGCUUGCUCGAUGAUGGGAGAGGUGACUUUACACAAGGAGGGUCACCAGAGGUGCAUGCUUGUACCAUUGCAGAGCACACGUCCGGCUGGUGAGCGUGGUGUUUAUCCAGAUGGCGUGGGAGAGAUCGGAAGUGACGACCACAGUAAACACAGCGCUGUUUCUGUGCCAUGAUGCUCUGCCCACGACCUACUGACACAUUGACACUAUUAGCAGGAACUCCUGCAGACGGCGGGCACUUAAACACAGGACUGGAGGGAGCAGCAGGCUGCAGUGAGGAGGACAGGAGGGAGUGUGGAAAAGUGGGAGGAUGGCUGGGGGGUCGUUGAAGUGCUUUUCUCUUAGCAUGUGCAGACAGGGCUUUGUGCCUCUUGCGGCGGUGAGGUAUUCGCAUGCGUGUCUCUCCAUUGGCAUCAUCCGAGUCAAGGUCUGAAUCACUGGGCUCAGAGUGAGACAGAGGAGAGGAGGAAGGAGAGAGAGACCAGGAAGGUGUGAGGUAUUCUGAUGCAGAAAGUGGAACUGGGCCAGACUCUUCCUCCUAAG
ensembl:lncRNA